UGCCCGGUGGUGUAAUGGCAGCACGCUAGGUUUUGGUCCUAGAAAUUGGGGUUCGACUCCCUGCCGGGCAA
rnacentral:tRNA from 1 species